rnacentral:rRNA from 1 species
GUGAGGGAAAGGUGAAAAGCACCCCGGGAGGGGAGUGAAAUAGAACCUGAAACCGUGUGCCUACAACAAGUUCGAGCCCGUUAAUGGGUGAGAGCGUGCCUUUUGUAGAAUGAACCGGCGAGUUACGAUAUGAUGCGAGGUUAAGUUGAAGAGACGGAGCCGUAGGGAAACCGAGUCUUAAUAGGGCGAUUUAGUAUCAUGUUGUAGACCCGAAACCAUGUGACCUACCCAUGAGCAGGUUGAAGGUGAGGUAAAACUCACUGGAGGACCGAACCAGGGCACGUUGAAAAGUGCUUGGAUGACUUGUGGGUAGCGGAGAAAUUCCAAACGAACUUGGAGAUAGCUGGUUCUCUCCGAAAUAGCUUUAGGGCUAGCGUCGAUGUUAAGUCUCUUGGAGGUAGAGCACUGUUUGGGUGAGGGGUCCAUCUCGGAUUACCAAUCUCAGAUAAACUCCGAAUGCCAACGAGAUAUCAUCGGCAGUCAGACUGCGAGUGCUAAGAUCCGUAGUCGAAAGGGAAACAGCCCAGACCACCAGCUAAGGUCCCAAAAUAACUGUUAAGUGGAAAAGGAUGUGGGGUUGCACAGACAACUAGGAUGUUAGCUUAGAAGCAGCUAUUCAUUCAAAGAGUGCGUAAUAGCUCACUAGUCGAGUGACCCUGCGCCGAAAAUGUACCGGGGCUAAAACAGUUUACCGAAGCUGUGGAUGACACAAAAGUGUCAUGGUAGGAGAGCGUUCUAUGUGUGAAGAAGGUGUACCGUGAGGAGCGCUGGAACGCAUAGAAGUGAGAAUGCCGGUAUGAGUAGCGAAAGACAGGUGAGAAUCCUGUCCACCGUAAGACUAAGGUUUCCAGGGGAAGGCUCGUCCGCCCUGGGUUAGUCGGGACCUAAGGAGAGACCGAAAGGUGUAUCCGAUGGCCAACAGGUUGAUAUUCCUGUACUAGAGUAUAUAGUGAUGGAGGGACGCAGUAGGCUAACUAAACCGGACGAUUGGAAGAGUCCGGCUAAGCAGUGAGGUGUAAGAUGAGUCAAAUGCUUAUCUUUAUAACAUUGAGCUGUGAUGGGGAGCGAAUUUUAGUAGCGAAGUUAGUGAUGUCACACUGCCAAGAAAAGCUUCUAGCGUUUAAUGAUACUCUACCCGUACCGCAAACCGACACAGGUAGUCGAGGCGAGUAGCCUCAGGUGAUCGAGAGAACUCUCGUUAAGGAACUCGGCAAAAUGACCCCGUAACUUCGGGAGAAGGGGUGCUGACUUAGGUCAGCCGCAGUGAAUAGGCCCAAGCAACUGUUUAUCAAAAACACAGCUCUCUGCUAAAUCGUAAGAUGAUGUAUAGGGGGUGA